rnacentral:rRNA from 1 species
AGAGUUUGAUCCUGGCUCAGGACGAACGCUGGCGGCGCGCCUAACACAUGCAAGUCGAACGAGCGAGAGAGAGCUUGCUUUCUCGAGCGAGUGGCGAACGGGUGAGUAACGCGUGAGGAACCUGCCUCAAAGAGGGGGACAACAGUUGGAAACGACUGCUAAUACCGCAUAAGCCCACGGCUCGGCAUCGAGCAGAGGGAAAAGGAGCAAUCCGCUUUGAGAUGGCCUCGCGUCCGAUUAGCUAGUUGGUGAGGUAAUGGCCCACCAAGGCGACGAUCGGUAGCCGGACUGAGAGGUUGAACGGCCACAUUGGGACUGAGACACGGCCCAGACUCCUACGGGAGGCAGCAGUGGGGAAUAUUGCACAAUGGGGGAAACCCUGAUGCAGCGACGCCGCGUGGAGGAAGAAGGUCUUCGGAUUGUAAACUCCUGUUGUUGAGGAAGAUAAUGACGGUACUCAACAAGGAAGUGACGGCUAACUACGUGCCAGCAGCCGCGGUAAAACGUAGGUCACAAGCGUUGUCCGGAAUUACUGGGUGUAAAGGGAGCGCAGGCGGGAAGACAAGUUGGAAGUGAAAUCUAUGGGCUCAACCCAUAAACUGCUUUCAAAACUGUUUUUCUUGAGUAGUGCAGAGGUAGGCGGAAUUCCCGGUGUAGCGGUGGAAUGCGUAGAUAUCGGGAGGAACACCAGUGGCGAAGGCGGCCUACUGGGCACCAACUGACGCUGAGGCUCGAAAGUGUGGGUAGCAAACAGGAUUAGAUACCCUGGUAGUCCACACCGUAAACGAUGAUUACUAGGUGUUGGAGGAUUGACCCCUUCAGUGCCGCAGUUAACACAAUAAGUAAUCCACCUGGGGAGUACGACCGCAAGGUUGAAACUCAAAGGAAUUGACGGGGGCCCGCACAAGCAGUGGAGUAU